CCAACUUUACCAAUUUUAUAACUUCUCUUUCUCGGUUUUUCACUGUAACUAUUCAUCUUCUUCUUUCUUUUGAGCUUUUUGGUGUUAUUAUUUCUCCAAUUUCAGAGAGAAACCGACAGACGACCAUAGUGGCGAGGGGCUGAGUGUGGCGUCAUCUGGAUUUUCGAUGACGAAGAUGCAGAGAUUGUUGUCGUCAUCGAAUGGUGGUGGAGGGUUAGAGCGUACAGUGGAGAAAUUUUUCAAAAUGGGGGGAAUGUUGUCCCUUCUAAGUCCACUAAUAAGGCUGGACCAUCAGUAAAAUUGCAGCGUUCUCCUCGAAGUCCUGAGAGAUGAUUGACGUCCCGUGGACCUGUUAUUAUCGAUGACACUAACAAUCAGGCUGUGCAUUAUAUGAUCAAACUAGAAUUUCGGUUUGGAACUAAGGUUCAACAAUGGAAUAAACAAGAGGUUAUAGCUGAUUUGAACAAAGUUUUUUCACCAAGAAGCAUAAGGCCAUGUUUAGAAGAACACCUUUUGGUCAUUUUUUGGAUAUGCCAAGUACUGCACGGCAAGCAAAACUUGUACAUAGUGUUUUAAUGAGGGAAGUUCAUCAGGAAAAAGUAAAAUUUGAGUUUUGGUUUAAGCUUAGUGAUAAGGUACUGAGAUUUUCUAUUAGUGAGUUUGGUUUUAUUACUGGACCAUAUUGUGUUGGUAGUGUUGAUUUAAGUAUGUUUCCUGAUGGUGGUAAAAGUAUUAGGAAAACAUUACCUGGUGUUAAAGGGAAUGACAAAGUUAGUAAAAAUGAAGUUAGUAAUCUUUUUAAUUAAAAGGAUUUUAAUGCUAUGGAGGAUGACCUUGUUGUGAAGUUGGGGAUUGUUCACUUUUUGACUCGUUCUUUGUUUGGGACCAUGAGUGAGACAGGGUAGACAACAAGUUUUUUGGUAUGAUUAAUUGUGAAUUUUUCAUGUUGAAAAAGUUUGCAUUUGACAAACUUUUGUGGCAAAAAACUAGGUGUUAUAUGCGCUUAGCUUUAAAAGAGAAUAAUGCUCUUUAUAUGAAGAUUGCUAGGAAAGGAGGUGGGUCUCUCGAUAAUUAUAGUUACACGUGUUUUGGUUUUUCUCUUGCAUUUGUUAUAUGGAUUUAUGAGACACUUCCAAGUUGUUCAUCGUUUUUAUGUCGGAGGGUUGGUUCGACUUUUCAAAGGAUAUUGAAUUGGCAUAGCAAAUAUAGUGUGACUUGUCAAUAAGUUCUUGAGAAAGUCUUGAUAGAUGAGAAGGUAAAUUUUUUUCUUUUUUAUUUUGUGUUGUAUUUUUGUAUCUGUUAUAUUUGUAAGUAUCGAUAACUUGUAAUUUUUAUGUUUUUUUAUUUCAUAUUUAAUUAGUGAAGCAACUUGUUACUAUUUAUGUUCUUUAUAUUUUAUUCUCUUUGUUUUUUUUAAUUUAGUGUAGAUUGAUGUCAAUAUUGUCAUUCCUAAUGAGGAGGAAAAAAAAUUGGUUAUUUUGAAAAAUUUAUCAUUUGAAAGUGAAUUCUGUCCAACUCCACCACCUAUAGAUGAGGACAUUCCACUAUUGGAGAUGCCUUUGUUGAUGCCUCUACUUUUUUUUGCCAAAGAAACGUUUGGAGGAGUUCCAAGAUCAAAUCAAGGAGAUACAUGUAAAGCUGACUAAAGUCCAAACUUCACAAAAGCUGAUUCUUGGUGAAGUUGGUUCUUUGAAGAAAAAUGUUGAAGUUGAUUUUGCUACAUCGAUCGGUUUUCUUGUAGACAUUAAGACUGAUGUGUAUCAAAACUGAUGUGGAGAUUUAGAUUUUGAAAAUCAAUGGACUUUGACCAUGUUUCUCAGGAUUAUUUUGGUGAUGUUUGUGUUGGAGGAUACCAAGAUGUUGAACUUGGUGAAAAGUUGGGGGCUGAUUUGGAGCAUUCUGUGAAGAUUGCUUCAGAUUUUAUUACUACUGUUAAGAGCCAAUCUGAAGAUGCAACAUUGCUAUGCUGACUCCUUCAACUCCUACAUUUCAUGUGUCUAAUGAAAUGUGAAAGUUAUAAAUGAGUAAGUUGAGAGACCACUACAAGAGAGCAGUUAUUUGGAGGAUAAAAGUAAGUGGUCGAUUGUUGUUUAUGAUGCUUCAAGAGCAGUUGCUGGUGGGACGAUUUUGCCUAAGAAAAUAGUGGUGAAGGCGAGUGCUGUGAUCAAGUCUCAUUUUAUGACAAAGUUUGGGUAUUUUAAAGAUGAAGGUAAACAAAAAAGAAAGAAGACUGUAUUAGAUAGUAUAUGUCUUUUUUCUAAUGAUCUUGGUCAUAAUCACACUGAACAACAAGCUUCUGAGUUUCAUAGUUAGAUCGAAACUAAAGUCAAGCACAAUAAAAAUUAUGUAUAAAUUGUUAUUUUUUAAAAAAAAAAAUUGCUUGUUGAA